rnacentral:rRNA from 1 species
GACGAAUGCUGGCUGCGUGCUUAACACAUGCAAGUCGAACGGUGAAGGGGAGCUUGCUCCCCGGAUCAGUGGCGAACGGGUGAGUAACACGUGGGCAACCUGCCCCUCACUCUGGGAUAACUCCGGGAAACCGGGGCUAAUACCGGAUACGACCGGGAGCGACAUCGCUCCUGGUGGAAAGAACUUCGGUGAGGGAUGGGCCCGCGGCCUAUCAGCUAGUUGGUGGGGUAACGGCCCACCAAGGCGACGACGGGUAGCCGGCCUGAGAGGGCGACCGGCCACACUGGGACUGGGACACGGCCCAGACUCCUACGGGAGGCAGCAGUGGGGAAUAUUGCGCAAUGGGCGAAAGCCUGACGCAGCGACGCAGCGUGAGGGACGAAGGCCUUCGGGUUGUAAACCUCUUUCAGCGGGGACGAAGCGAAAGUGACGGUACCCGCAGAAGAAGCACCGGCUAACUACGUGCCAGCCGCCGCAGUAAGAC